GUCCACGCCCUAAACGAUGUCAACUGGUUGUCGGGGAAGUUUUUCCUUGGUAACGAAGCUAACGCGUGAAGUUGACCGCCUGGGGGAGUACGGCCGCAAGGUUAAAACUCAAAGGAAUUGACGGGGACCCGCACAAGCGGUGGAUUAUGUGGAUUAAUUCGAUGCAACGCGAAAACCUUACCUACCCUUGACAUGUGCGGAAUGGGGUAGAGAUACCUCGGUGCCCGAAAGGGACCGCAACACAGGUGCUGCAUGGCUGUCGU
rnacentral:rRNA from 1 species